rnacentral:rRNA from 1 species
GACGAACGCUGGCGGCGUGCCUAACACAUGCAAGUCGAACGAAGUGGCGAACGGGUGAGUAACGCGUAAUCAACCUGCUCUUCAGAGGGGGACAACAGUUGGAAACGACUGCUAAUACCGCAUACUGAAGGAGGGGAUUGCGUCUGAUUAGCUAGUUGGAGGGGUAACGGCCCACCAAGGCGAGGAUCAGUAGCCGGACUGGGAGGGGGAACGGCCAAAUUGGGAAUGAGACACGGCCCAGACUCCUACGGGAGGCAGCAGUGGGGAAUCUUCCGCAAUGGACGGAAGGCUGACGGAGCAACGCCGCGUGAGUGAAGACGGCCUUCGGGUUGUAAAGCUCUGUUAAUCGGGACGCGGUACCGGAAUAGAAAGCCACGGCUAACUACGUGCCAGCAGCCGCGGUAAUUC